AUUGAACGCUGGUGGCAUGCUUUACACAUGCAAGUCGAACGGUAACAGGGAGCUUGCUCCGCUGACGAGUGGCGAACGGGUGAGUAAUGCGUCGGAACGUGCCGAGUAGUGGGGGAUAACGCAUCGAAAGGUGUGCUAAUACCGCAUACGUACUGAGGUAGAAAGUGGGGGACCUUCGGGCCUCACGCUAUUCGAGCGGCCGACGUCUGAUUAGCUAGUUGGUGAGGUAAAGGCUCACCAAGGCGACGAUCAGUAGCGGGUCUGAGAGGAUGAUCCGCCACACUGGGACUGAGACACGGCCCAGACUCCUACGGGAGGCAGCAGUGGGGAAUUUUGGACAAUGGGCGCAAGCCUGAUCCAGCCAUGCCGCGUGUCUGAAGAAGGCCUUCGGGUUGUAAAGGACUUUUGUCCGGGAGCAAAUGCUGGUGGCUAACAUCCACCGGAGCUGAGAGUACCGGAAGAAUAAGCACCGGCUAACUACGUGCCAGCCGCCGCGGUAAAAC
rnacentral:rRNA from 1 species